GACGAACGCUGGCGGCGUGCCUAAUACAUGCAAGUCGAGCGCAGGAAGCUCACGGAACUCUUCGGAGGGAAGUGAAGGGAAUGAGCGGCGGACGGGUGAGUAACACGUAAGGAACCUGCCCCAAGGAUUGGGAUAACUCCGAGAAAUCGGAGCUAAUACCGAAUAGUUCUUCAGACCGCAUGGUCUGAUGAUGAAAGGCGCUCCGGCGUCACCUUGGGAUGGCCUUGCGGUGCAUUAGCUAGUUGGUGGGGUAAUGGCCCACCAAGGCGACGUGGAAUAGCCGACCUGAGAGGGUGAUCGGCCACACGGGGACUGAGACACGGCCCAGACUCCUACGGGAGGCAGCAGUAGGGAAUCUUCCACAAUGGACGAAAGUCUGAUGGAGCAACGCCGCGUGAGUGAUGAAGGUUUUCGGAUCGUAAAACUCUGUUGUAAGGGAAGAACAGGUAUGAGAGGUAAUGCUCAUGCUAUGACGGUACCUUACGAGAAAGCCACGGCUAACUACGUGCCAGCCGCCGCGGUAAAAC
rnacentral:rRNA from 1 species